rnacentral:tRNA from 1 species
GGGCCCGUAGCUUAGCCAGGUGGAGCGUCUGGCUCAUAACCAGAUGGUCGCCGGUUCGAAUAGUGUUUGUAAAAGAUUCACUCGAAUAUCCGGCCGGGCCCA